GUAGAGGAGCGGUGUUUUGGCGCUCUGGUUACUUGUAUCAGGUACAUGAGGGGAAAUGAUCCGGAAGAGCAGUAAGACCUGAAAUAUGCGUGCCAUGCCCUACUGGAUUCAGUAAAAUGAAUAGGAAGAAGAAGGAGCCCAUUCCAACGGCAUUCUUCCACUUUGCCCAUGAAGCACUGCAGUAAGGGCUUCUUGACAGCUACACAUCCUUUCAGACUCAU
ensembl:lncRNA